rnacentral:lncRNA from 1 species
AUGCCGACUCUUUGCCAAGGAUGGGUUCUUUCCAGAGCAUUGCAUCUUCUGCAGCUCAGGGCGCUGCCUUCUUUCCUAAACUGUUGGGGAAACUGUCCUGAUAUCCGAGACACUCUCCAUUGUGCCACAACCCUCUUUUUCUUCUGGCCAGAGCGCGUGCUCGACUGCUUUUGAGAGAAAUCUUCCACCUGGCCUGAUUAUGAACAGCUUCAGAGCUCUGUAGAGCAGUGAUCAAGACUGUGACUUCCUGGAAAUGUCAUUCUCAAUGGCGGUUUUUUCAUGAAUGUGAAAGUCGAAGCAUUAGGAAGGUUAAGUGUAGGGUUGCACAAAAUCUGCUAAAAGUAAAGGAGAAAAUCCCAUUUCCGAGGCAUGUGUCUUGUGAGCCAUUUUCAUUAACCCAUUAAAGUGGGCAAGCUCCAAAAUGCAACUGAAGCUGCUGACGAUUUAGGCAUUUUACAAUUGAAAUCAUCGGCCCAUCUCAAGUAGGGCCUGACUUGCCAGUGUCGUAGAGACACAAAUGGGAUCUGAUCCUUCAGGAACAGACAGCAUUCCAGCUUUGUGGGAAUGACUUUUAAAACGUGGAGUAGUUGGGGUCAUUUGAAACCUGUCUUCCGUAGGGACUUUUACUUCUAGAGAGUACGUGCAUUUUUAUUUUACCUGUCCUCAAGCUGAUGCUUUGCUCAUUUUAUUAAUAAAAAACACACUCUUGGGGGGAAGAUAUAAGAUGCUAAUGAGACAUGCAAUGUAUGCACAAAUAUGUUUAGCUGCUGCACAUGUGCACAGAAAAGACCAGGCAGAACAUGCUUAGUGUAACACUUCUUUCCACCUUCUUAUGAAUAAUCAUGUAAAACUCAACAUAAAGAGGGUUUCUCCACCAAUAAUUAAUGCUAUCUCACCCUUAUGAGCAGGCAGCCCUGGAAUUUAUCAGAGUGUACUAUGUAUUCUGCAUUUAAUUUUCAAAAUAUUCUUUUUUUUCUUCAAUAAAUUACUCUAUGCUGUACUUCUUUUGCUGUGUGUCUUGUUUAAAUUCUUUUAAACUAAGAAGAUAAGAACCAAGGUAUUACAUCAGCCAUCAAUAUUUCUGGUGCCAUGGCCCGGUAAGAAGUUUGUCGGCUUCAUUAAUUUCACUUUCCCUUUACUUGCAGUGAAUACUAUAGCAGUUCCAGACUACCUGGUUCACUAUCACUGCUUGUUCCAGUGCUGUUUCAGUAAAGUUCCGAGGGAAACGUUUUUAAGUCACCAAUAUUCUUUAGAGAGAGAAUAUAAGUGAUCUCCUUCUAGCUGCUACUUCUGUACUAUCCAUAAAUACACUAAUCACACGGGUCGCUUUCAACAUUUCAUAUUCGGGCUACAUUGGUGCUUAGUUUCACAUCUUUCUGGCCACACUUAAGACUCUGCUUACCGUUUGCUGUUCCUUCAGCAAUACUCGAUCGCCACCUAGUGGGUAUUGUAAUUUAUUUUCUGAUCAGGUUUUCUGUAUACAAAAAUUUUAUUUUGUUUUGAGGGGCAGAAUAAGAACUCCCUGUCUCUUCCGGCUUUAUGCAUUUUCCAGCUCCUUAACAUUGUUCUUCAACAGGCUUUCUUUGCUGAACAAAAAGUGCAGUCAUGUAGAUGCCCGGUUGUGGGGAUUGCAUCUGUGCAUUCCAGGUAUUAAUAAUUGAGCAUCACAAAUCCAAACCGGUGAAUUAAGAAAAGGCUUGUCAGCCAGACAUCUGCCCCACAGCCAGCAGUGGGAGUCAUCUCAGUAGGG